UAAUUUGGCAUUAAAAUUCCUAUUCCCUAGUGCAAACGUCAAAGGCUGAUGAUCAGUAUAGAUCCUGAUUUUCUUUGCCCCGUAUAAGUAAUUUCUGAGAUUAUCAAGGGCCCAUACAAUGGCCAGCAUCUCUUUCUCGUUCGUGGCAUAGUUUUCCUCAGUUUUAUUGAGAGACCGAGAUAUGUAUGCUAUGGGUUUAUCCUUUCCCACUUCGCCUUGUGACAGAACGGCACCUAACGCGGUAUUAGAGGCAUCCGUUGUUAAGUUAAAAGGCUUCUCAAAGUCAGGGAAAGAUAGUAGCUCUGCUGUAGUUAACAUAGAUUUCAGUCUAUCGAAAGACUUUAAGGACUCGUUAUUUACAGCCUGUUCCACGAUAUCGAAAGAACACGUUCGCAAAACUUUUACACGACAAACAGCUGAUUUCCGUUCCACUAAAAUCCAUCAGAACGAAAAUUUGCACGAAAAUCAAAGCGAACGAAAACGUAAGCAUUUCAGUGUAAUUUUGCGUUCCACUAUCUUUUUUCUUUCGUACGCAUGCGAACACAAAUGUCAAAAUCAGUCACUUGUGUGUUUGCUGUCGAAUGAUAAAAAUUAGUGAAAAUUGUUUUAACAUAAACAUUCCUUGAUUGAAAAUGGAAAGAAAAAUCACGAAAAAACUACACAGCUGCGGGCACUAGUUGAGUAUAUGGAGGAGAAUCCUAAGUUCGCCAGAGGAGUGCCAAUCCCUUGAAGACCACUGGAAGACACAAACCUAGAAAAAUUCAUUUUUUAUUAUUUCAAAAAUGUAAAAAUACAAUCAUACUUACUGGUUGUUAGGUACUUCAAAUAAAUUCGAAGCAUCUCUUAAA